ACCAACCCUAGCCCAAAAACAAACCAACAUAAGUAUUAUCUUCUUAUUAAACUAAAUCAUUUAGUUUCACAAAAGUAUUGGAGAAAGAAAUUAAUUAUCAGGAGCUAUAGAGUUAGUACCGCAAGGGAAAGAUGAAAGAAUAUCGUAAAAGUAAAAACAAGCAAAGAUUAGACCUUGUACCUUUUGCAUAAUGAAUUAACUAGAAUAACUCUAGCUAAAAGAAUUUCAGCUAGAAACCCCGAAACCAAACGAGCUACCUAAGAACAAUUUUAUGAAUUAACCCGUCUAUGUAGCAAAAUAGUGGGAAGAUUUUUAGGUAGAGGUGAUAAGCCAAACGAGCUUGGUGAUAGCUGGUUACCCAAAAAAUGAAUUUCAGUUCAACUUUAAAUUUACUAUAAGAAUUUAUAAUCAAAACGUAAGUUUAAAAUAUAGCCGAAAGAGGGACAGCUCUUUCGGCAAAGGAAAAACCUUUCAUAGAGAAUUAGCCUUUUUAAUCCCUGCCUAACCAUUGUCGGCUUAAAAGCAGCCACCAAUAAAGAAAGCGUUCAAGCUCAACACUUAAAUCUAUUAAUACCAAAAAUUUUAACUAAUUCCUAUUUCAUUACUGGGUUAAUCUAUUAAUUUAUAGAUGAAAUACUGUUAAUAUGAGUAACAAGAAAAUAUUUCUCCUAGCACAAGUGUAUAACAAUCCGGAUAACCAUUGUUAGUUACCGACUAACAGGUAUUAAACUACUUAUUGAACUACCUAACUUAUUACCGUUAACCCAACACAGGAGUGCUUCAAGGAAAGAUUAAAAAAAAUAAAAGGAACUCGGCAAACCCGAACCCCGCCUGUUUACCAAAAACAUCACCUCUAGCAUUACAAGUAUUAGAGGCACUGCCUGCCCAGUGACUUAAGUUAAACGGCCGCGGUAUCCUGACCGUGCAAAGGUAGCAUAAUCACUUGUUCCUUAAUUAGGGACUAGAAUGAAUGGCUUAACGAGGGUUCAACUGUCUCUUAUUUUUAAUCAGUGAAAUUGACCUUCCAGUGAAGAGGCUGGAAUAAAAUAAUAAGACGAGAAGACCCUAUGGAGCUUAAAUUUUAUAGUUUAAUAUAUACGUACAUUUACAUACCCUAAUGGCACAAUAAAAUAUAAUUAUAAACUAAAAAUUUUGGUUGGGGUGACCUCGGAGAACAAAAAAACCUCCGAAUGAUUUUAACUUAGACCUACAUGUCAAAGUAAACAAAAAAUCUUAUUGACCCAAAAUACAUUUGAUCAACGGACCAAGUUACCCUAGGGAUAACAGCGCAAUCCUAUUUAAGAGUUCAUAUCGACAAUUAGGGUUUACGACCUCGAUGUUGGAUCAGGACAUCCCAAUGGUGCAGAAGCUAUUAAUGGUUCGUUUGUUCAACGAUUAAAGUCCUACGUGAUCUGAGUUCAGACCGGAGUAAUCCAGGUCGGUUUCUAUCUAUUCACAAUUUCUCCCAGUACGAAAGGACAAGAGAAAUAGAGCCACCUUAAUAAUAAGCGCUCUAAACAAAAAUCUAUGAAUCAAAUCUUAACAGAGUGAUGUAUGUACAAUACUCAACCUAGACAAGGUU
rnacentral:rRNA from 1 species